rnacentral:lncRNA from 1 species
CGCCAUUUUUAUACCGAUUAACCGCUAUUUAUAUCGGUUAACCGCUAUUUUUGUCGGUUAAUCGCUAUUUUUACCGGUUAAUCGCUAGUUAUAUAUCGGUUAACCGCUAUUUUUGUCGGUUAAUCGCUAGUUAUAUAUUGGUUAACCGCUAUAUUCAUGUGUCAAUCGCUAUCUUAUAGGGUUAAUCACUUUUAAUCUAUCGAUAAUCUACAAAUCAGUUUAUUAUUCGAAAUGAAUAAGUGAUUGGUGGAUAAGGUUUUCGCUGAACCUAUUUUGUGAGUGGUUUACUCCUCCCAUUCAUCUAUUUUAUUGUCAAUCAUUACAACCCAAUUUGUAGAGUUGUCUGUCAAACGCCCACAUGUUUCGAGUGCUGAACACGCAGCAUUUUUACAGCAUAUUACACUUGAUUGCACGUCAGCAACGAAAAAAUAGCGGUUAACCGACAAAUAACUGGGCAUUUUAAAAGUCAGAAUGAGGGUACAUAUGUUCAAACUCUUUAGGUCAUUUUUAGUUGCAAUAAACAAAAGAACUACUAGUAUGUCAUUUUGAUAUGCUUUGAUACUAUAUAUGCGCUUGAAUUUUUACUUGAUAACAUUUUUGUUCGCUUUGGAGAUUCCGUAUAUCGUCAAAUUAUUGGAAUUCCAAUGGGGACUAACUGUGCAUCAUUUAUAUACAUAGGCCCCCUAUAGACAAUACAUUCAAAUGUCUUAUUUUGGAGAAACACUGAAUGGAAUGAAACCAAACAUGGCAUGUAUGUUCCUUAUGAGGUGCUGACCAAGUUUUGUGUCUUUGAAGCCGUUUUUAUUUAUAAGGGCCAAUACUAAGCUUAAUUUGGCCUUAAUUAUUAUAUGGGAUUAUGCUAUAAUUUCAAUCUAUUGUCACACAAUUUCCAAAACUAAAGUAGAGUCAACCGGUGUAGAGUCAGAUGAGCGACAAAGAAUGUCAGGCGCACCCAGUUUUAAUAUAGGAACUCUUUUGUAAUAUCUUAGUUUAUAAUUAUAACGUACAUUCAUACCCUUUUAAUAUAAAACUACAAUA